UUUAGUAUUUCUGUGAAAAAUGUGGGAAUUUUGAAUGUGAUUGCAUUAAAUCUGUAAAUUGCUUUUGGUAGAACUGUCAUGUUUUUAUAUAGUACUAAUUCAUGGAAUUUUGAGGUCUUUCCAUUUUCUACUGCCAUUUCUACUUCACUUCCACAGUUAGGCUUAUUCCUAGAUAUUUACCUUCCUUUAGGCUAUUGUCAAUGGGAAUCCAUCUGGCACAACCAUAUCCACUGGAAAUGUCAAGAGUCGUGUAGCCAGCUCAGCUGCUUGACAAAGUUCCAGCAAAGCUAAUCAGAUUGUCGUGUUUGCUGUCCUUCAUUUUCUGACAUUUGUGUUUUGGUCUUUGUGUGUUGCAUUUUGGAGACUUUCUUAAUUAUAAUUGAUUUUAUGUCCCGAGAAGAAUUAUGAAUGUGUCUUUUUAGGAAAAUUCUAAAGUGAAGAUUAUCAGGCCACUAUUUUGAAGUCUUCCUGUGCCCUGGAGAUCACUAAGCAGAGAUAGGAAUAUUUCAACUUGGGGAAAACUGUCACAGAGUCAAAGGAAAAAUUGUCUGCCAUCUUUGUUUACAGCCAGCACUCUCAAAAAGAGUAGAUAUUAAAUCCCAUGUACUUCAUUGAUAUUGCUCUAAAAAAUGUAACAAUCACACAGUGAAGUUCAUAGAUGCAAGAAUUGAAAUGCCAAUUUAUAGAGUAAUUCCAAAACAUUGGCCAUUCGAUUUUACUGUACAGUAACAAAUUAUUUGGCUUACUCCUAUUUUGGGAACUUCUGGACAUUCUGACUCCUCAGGACCUCAGACUGACUGCUCAGUCCUUCCACCCGCCUAUGCAGAUGCAAGCCCAGCCUUCUUUAUUAUCCAAAGUCAACUAGAAUCUAACCAGCCAGGUGGCCCUACUGUGUGACCCCCAUGGAUCUCAGCACUACCUCCUAUGAAUCACCACCUGGAUUGGAAUAUUUACUUCAGAUAGAUCAUAUUCUGAUUCACCAGCAGUUUGAGUUUGUGGAAGGUGUGUAUUUGCCAUUUUCAUCGUAUUUCUAGAAAGACGACAACAGUAAAGGCAUGAUGAACACCACAAGCACAGCGUUCUGGAUGAUGAGGGAUGGAAACCUUGAUCUCUUACAAUGGCUUUCCUCAAGGUCUUUAAACAAGUAGUUUUAUCUGGAUAUUUCAUUUCUGCCACUUAGGGGUUGGUAAAUGUUAUGUUGGCCAGCUAUCCACUAAUUUGAAAGAGCACACCUAAAACUUACCUUUUCUCCUAUCUCUGCAAAGCAUUGCAUGCUUCACCACACCCUACCAGGUUUCUUAGCUGCUUUCUGCCUUGCAAAGACCAGCGUGAGACUUGUACAGAACCUCAGGCAAUGUGAGUGGUCCUUUGGAAUUGGGAUGGAGAUUCUCUUUAAAAAUCUCUGUUAAUGCCCUCACCAUGGAAUCCAGGUUUUAUAGUGCUCCUGGGCAUGGCCCUGUUGUAUUAGAGUUGCUGAGCAGAAUAUGGACCAGGUGCCUACAGAAGUGACCUCAGAUCUGAUAUCUACAGUGCAAAAAGGAACUGAAGAAGCUCCCAGAACAUCAUGAUACCUGCCACGGGAGGCAGACCAUAGGAGGAUGUAUGAAUCACAGUAUCUGCUCUUGAUCAGAACAUGCUAAACACUUAAUUGAAAUCAAGAGUAGAUCUUUUAAAUUCAUUCUCAUCUGUUUAGAAAGUUCUUUUCCACUCAAAAAAAUUAGAACAUGCAUUGUAUGGUGU
rnacentral:sRNA from 1 species